GCUCCAGUGGCGCAGAGGUUAGCGCUUCGUGCUUAUAGAAUUAUUCACUAUGCCAAACGCACAGUCGUUGAGACGCGACGGUCGUGGGUUCAAACCCCUCCUGGAGCA
rfam:Candida albicans SC5314 chromosome 1 sequence.